rnacentral:rRNA from 1 species
GUGCCAGCAGCCGCGGUAAUACAGAGGUGCCAAGCGUUAGGCGGAAUCACUGGGCUUAAAGCGCGCGUAGGCGGAUGUUUAAGUGUCUUGUGAAAUCCCACGGCUCAACCGUGGAACUGCUGGGCAUACUGGACAUCUCGAGGCACUCAGGGGCGAGCGGAACAAGUGGUGGAGCGGUGAAAUGCGUAGAUAUCACUUGGAACGCCAAUGGUGAAGACAGCUCGCUGGGGGUGUCCUGACGCUGAGGCGCGAAAGCCAGGGGAGCGAACGGGAUUAGAUACCCCAGUAGUCC